UUUGUUGAGCCACAUUAGUGGCUGGUCGAGGACAGGUUCCAUCUAUAAAACCAAUUUUAUUUUUGGCAGUCAAAGCAACAACCAUUUUUCUCCUCCAUCCCCCAUAACCAUCACCCGAGAAGGGGGUGGGGACAAGAGAUACCCCGGGAACAUCGGAGGAGUAUAGAAAUAGAGGACUGCUAGAGUCCAAAAGACCAGUAUUGGUAUUGACAGCCAUGACACAUCAACAAAGAAAAUAGGUUCAACAACCAGAGUGUAACAAAUCAAGUAACUACACACAAAGCCAACUACCCAGAUACAAAACCAAUUCUGUACACACAAAUCAGGUAAUAUUGAAUUUUAAGACAAAGUUACCAUCCUUCUUCGCUACCGGAAAAAGACCGGCCUUCAAAUGAUAGUGAAAACCCUAGGUAUGAAACCCUAGGUUCAGACGUCGAAUCGGUCACCAGAAAUAUGAGAAACGAUAUCGGAAAGGUACCCAAACAUCCACGAGAUGAGAAUCGGACCACCGGAAGACGGUAAAACAGCAAGUCAAAACCACCGAAAACCCCAGAUACCGAUGACUCACCAAAAAUCAACCAAAACCGACAGAGGUUCUUAAAAUGUUGAGGUCACGAAGAUACAACCGGAUAUCAUGAUGUAAAACACUCUGAACCAUGUCCGAUCAAAGUCGGAAUCAUCAUCGGCCAUUCUAUCUCAGAUAAAACCUCAAAAACCGCCAAACAAAUAUUCAAAAAAGACACCGGCAUGCAAAUGAACAUGAUCGGAUCGUUGUAAGGCUCUGAUACCAUGUCAAUAUU
rnacentral:lncRNA from 1 species